rnacentral:misc_RNA from 1 species
CUCGUUGACCCUCUCUCUUUUCUUCAUUUUCACUUCUCGAGCCGACAGACUUGCCCCAGUCUGCCCCUGUGAAGCCACGACUUGCGUUCCACAGAUUGCUUCGACGUUUCCGUCGCUUCACACAUCGCUAGCCUUCUUUUCGCUUCUUUCCUUCCGGCCUCUCUCCGGUCAUGGCGCUCUUGCUUGACGACGAUGAGGUCUUUGUAUCGACCGCGAGCGCCCCUCCACAGCCGGCGCAACCGGGGGUGCGUAUCGUCUCGGACAGCGAACCAGAGAUGAGCGACUUCACGCCGCUUUGCGCCGCUGCGCCGUCGAGCAGAACCGCCGCAAGCACGUCCUCGACGGCAGCGGCGACCCAACACCGUGAGCGCUCACCUGUUUCUGCCGGCGCGCCAGUCACCCUGCCUCUGAGGGGCGGUGAUGGCAUGGAAAAGAUGGAGGCGCUGUUGUUUGGCAAGACGAAGGUCGCCCUCGUCCGCGACGGCAGCGUUGUCGGUCUCAAGCGUUCAGCAGAUGAGGCCUUUGGGGCGGCCGUUUCGCGAACGCCGGUGGCUCAGAGGACAUCGUUAGCCCCACUCUGCGAUGGCCGCACCAACGGCAGCAGCACGCAGCCGAAGAUUGUCUCUGCAGCGCGGUCCCUCUCUUCCCCAUCGCCGCAGCAAGAGCUAUCUUCGACGAUGUCGUUGGAAACCGUGACGACGACACCCCAUGAGAGGUCCUCGCGGGCGUUCGUCUCGACUUCACCGGAGCAUCCGUGUGGUUCACCGUUCGCCUCCCCGUCAGCGCUUCCUACACCGACGUUGUCUGCUUCGGCUCGCGAGCAGACUGCUGUCGAGAAUCCAUCCUCCUCCGUGGCAACGCAGUCUACUAAGAUGCAGAUGAAGCUGUCUGACUUCUUCUCCAAGAUGGCGUGCAAGCGGUGAGAGGAGCAGCUUACAGUGACGAGAAGGGGCGAGAAGCAUUUUCACUUCAUAGAAUCUACCGAUGCAUGAGGAGCGAAGGUUAUCCUCACAGAACAUACAAGCGGCGGCGAUACACUGACAUUUUUUUGUCGGUGCGCGCACCCCUUCUAUCCUGGCAAACAACUUCACCAAAUACUGUGUGCUUGCACCGUUGCAAGUGCCUCUGGACGUGAAGCGUUGGUGUUUCAUCGGCACGCCUGCACGUGAUGCACGUCGCAGCCUUCGGCCUUGUCCGAUUACACAAGACAUGGGCGCUAGCCAUCUACGUGUGCACACUGUUAUAGAUACGCUUCUGCGCGGCUUCCGGCCCCGGCUCCGCUGGAGCUCCGCUGUUUUCGUGCUGACAACAUCCCUUUUCGCGGUAUCUGCAUCAUGCGAACUGCGUGGGAUCAGAAUAGGAUCUUGAACGAGACAGUGAAGAUAUACGUGUGUAUUCGUUUCACCGUGUCCAGUUCUCUGCCGCAAAACACUCGUUCAAGGGCUCUUGACACAGCCGCUCAGGGGGCUCGCCAGGCGUCGCGCCCAAGGAGCAAUAAACCCGUGCUGGAGUAAUGCGCCGACACUGUCAUCGGAGCACCACCUCUGCCUCCAACCCUACUUACCACCCUCGCCCAUCAUGCCCCGUCGCCACCCCUGGCGCAUCCCUGCCCCCUCAUCGGCGGUGGCACUCAGCCCCCCACCCACCCACCCACACCAGUAGGCCGUGUGAGGACCGAGGGGAGGGGUGGCGGGGGAGGGGAUACGUCCGAGCCACGCUGGCACGCCGCCUAAACUCCUAUGGAUGGCGCCGCCCUGCUGACACGAUCGCGGGCCGCUGCGACGCCACGCCGUCCAGCACCGGACCGCCGACGUCAGCAGCGAUGCACCGCUCAGACCCCCUCCUCCUCCUCCUCCUCCUCCACCCCCGCUGCCUUACGUCGUAGGUGCCUGAUCGUGCCACAGCCAGAGGUGGCUCGGCAUUUGGCCCAGGAUUUCGUGGGUUCUGCGUGGUUUUCCGGCAGGGAGAGAGUGGCGGUGCGCGGGACCCUGAGACAACACGUACUGAGGUGUAUCUCCUGAUCAGGGUCGGUGAUUCUAUCGAGAGACGAAACUUCUGGGUUGAAGUCUACGACGUCCCCCGUUGUUUCUACGGGUGGAAAUGGAGAGAGAGAAUACAUGCAUGCCUUUUUACCUCUCACACGCUCACGCACACAGACCCAUAUGCUUAGUCGAAUGUGCUCACGCCCACCCCUUCCUGCUGUGCCUCUCCUUCUCUUUCUUCCCGCUCUCCUUCGUUGACGUGUAUUAUUUCACGCCCUGCUCGCCAUCUAUUGGAACCGGGGCCGCCGAUCAAACCCGUCUCUACUCUUGCCCACUGUCUUCUUGCUUUCUGUGUGUGCGUGUGUUUUGUUUUUGUGUGUGUGUUGGCCGACUUUUCUCACGGCACAUGUGUGCCGCGCUCUUCUCUCGUUGGCGUUUUUGCUGCUCGUUAUGCCUGCGAGUCAAAG